AAAAAUAAAACUCAAAUUAAGUUUUAUUAAAAAAGCAAAAAAAAAAAAAAAAAAAACAGCAACAGUUGACCAAUGUGCUGUACAAUGUACUGGAAUAGAUUAUGAAAACAAUAAAACCCAACAUAAGACAUAAAAGAUGUAAAACAGGGGAUUAAAAAAAACCAAGCAAUAGAGAACAUCACAGGAGAAAAGAUACGUUCUGUUCCAAAGUUUAGGUGCGGCUACUGUGAAAGCUCGAUCACCUCUAGAUUUGAACACUAACACACAUGUAAGCUGUGGCUUAAAAAGUAUCUUACAUGUGCACUAUUUUAUAUUUAGUUUGAAAAAAGUUCAUAUAUUGCAUACAAUAUUACAUGGACUUUUAAUGAAUUGAAUUACAACGUAACAAUUAAUCUUAUAACACUCUUAGCAUAACAUUAUUAAGUAUAUCUCAAAAUGAAGAUCCUUGUCAACUGUUUUGUAUACCAUUGUUGUAGUAAGAAAACAUUCUUACAAGACGCUUAAAGGCGGAAAAAACAUACCCACACACCACCUACAGAUUCAGAAGCCAAAUGUCAUAAACCCUCAAUAAUGAAACAUCAUUCACACAUUUAAAAUGCUAAGUCUUGCAACCAUUAACUAGCCUUCAUUAGCUUCAAUAGACCCUCCAGCGUAUAAAAUCAGUCUCUAAGAGUUCAUGUCUGAAAGACUCAGCCUUUGAUUUUCUCUUUGAAAUCACAUUCUGCUGUAUUUGAAGAAACAACAACCAGGUUCUACAUGCUACUGAUUGCAACAGUUUGUCACCUAAUGCUUAUGACAGGGCUGCAUUUCAAAGGUUUGACAUUUUGUAUGACAGUGAACACACAUGUAGCGAGCAGACUUUGAAGCGGGAGUUUUUACCUCUAUGUGUCUUAUGUGUUGCUGUGGGUUUGUGGUGGUCUCUUCUUGGUGUCCAGCACGGUUCUGCACGGAUGUGGUAAGAUUCAGUUUGAAACAGGAAACACCCAGGUUCAUACUGCUCUCAUUAGUCCUUCAUCUGACUUCAAGCAAUAUCUAUCAGAAUGGAGAUGGACUGAGAGGCCUCGUUAAAGGUAUGAUUGACGUCCAAAGCCAACAAGGAGUUCUCCUUGCCAUCAUUUCUUUGACCUGCCUUGGUUGUGUUUAUGGUCUCUGUCUGUGCUGCAGAAAGAAAUCUUCUAUGCGACAAGAGGACAAUGACCUGUAUGACCAAGAUGAUUUCAAUCAGGACGGUAAAUUUACUGAUUGCAGAAAACCUACAACAGUCCUAAGACCAACCCAAAGAGCGAUGCCUUCAACAUCAAGGCUGUCAACGAUGAACAGGCUUGUCAAUAGUGACAUCCACUGGAGUUAUCAAAACCUUCCAGAUGUAAAAAAUGGCAUCAUGGAACCAACAUAUGUGGACCCAAUUCCAAAUUCAAUUUAUGCAAAUGAUGAUGACACAGAAGGAGAUCCAGGAACAUACGAGAAUAUUUUUCCAACAAAAAAAGUGCAACAUGACUCAGAUAGCUGUAAUUAUGUAAACUGGGACAUUGCAAAUGAGGAUGAUGAACCAGACUACGUGAAUGAUAUGACACAGUGAAAAGGAAUGAUAUAUAUUUUUUUUUGUAUCAGAAUUCCAAGACUUUUUUUGAUUUUCACAUUUUGAUCUUAGUGGCAUUUAAUGUUAUUUAAUUAAAGUGUUAAAAAGUGUACUACUUGACCUUUUGAAGUAGUCAAAUAAGAUUAAGUGUGGAUGUGCGUAGUCAUCUCUGCUGAUCAAUAAACAAUGAUUUAAUUAACCGUCA
ensembl:lncRNA